rnacentral:lncRNA from 1 species
CCGGCGGGGUUUUGCCGUCGCAGAAAUUUAUUAUCUCCCCUGCUCCAACCCGCCCAUAAAAGCGCGGGGCCGCCGCGUCUGGCAGUGAUUAGGGCCGCUCCGGGUUUUGGGUUUCAGAGCGCGGCCCGACCGUAAACCCGCGGUACAAAUCGCGCCGCGAUCCCGACCGCUCGUAAAGGCGCGGGGACGGCCGCACACGCAGGGUGAGGGCUGCAGUGAAGAUCAGCCCAAACGUGUGAGCAGCUCUGGCAGCGAUGGGCCGUGGAGGUGAGCGCCGGGGGGGUCACACUGCGGGCUCUGAGGCGGCGACGAUUCAGCAGAGACCAUUAAAAAGCUUCCACAGACCUCACAGACCUCCGUACUGCCUCACCAGAGGCUCCGCGGUGCCCUUCAGACAGCAGACUGAGCCGAACCCUGUA